GGCAAAUUCAGCAAGGCAGGAUUAAACCAGAAAAUGAGGAAACGCAGGUGGCAGAGUGCAAGGGGAGCAAUGCCUCAUGCUGGCCAUGCACUCAGAACGAGGGGGGGGAGUAGAAGUGUGGCUGAGCAGCUGCUGCUGGAUGGCAAACACAAGAUCCUGUGAGAACAGCAGUGCACACCUGCAGCAUCACCACCUGCUGCAGCCAGGGAGGGGGAAUUAAAACCUGAGGAGGAGGGGAAAGAA
rnacentral:lncRNA from 12 species